rnacentral:rRNA from 1 species
UUGUUCACAAUGGGCGCAAGCCUGAUGACGCAACGCCGCGUGGGGGAUGAAGGUCUUCGGAUUGUAAACCCCUGUCGAGCGGGACGAACGGCCCGUGCAUUAACACUGCAUGGGAGUGACGGUACCGCUAAAGGAAGCCACGGCUAACUCUGUGCCAGCAGCCGCGGUAAUACAGAGGUGGCAAGCGUUGUUCGGAAUUACUGGGCGUAAAGGGCGCGUAGGCGGCCAUUUAAGUCAGACGUGAAAUCCCCCGGCUUAACCUGGGAACUGCGUCUGAUACUGGGUGGCUCGAGUUUGGGAGAGGGAUGUGGAAUUCCAGGUGUAGCGGUGAAAUGCGUAGAUAUCUGGAGGAACACCGGUGGCGAAGGCGGCAUCCUGGACCAACACUGACGCUGAGGCGCGAAAGCUAGGGGAGCAAACGGG